CCUUUAAGCUUUCUAAUUUUAACACUUGAAGCGUACUUUUCUCUAACGCUCACCAUUUCACUCUACGCUUUCCCCCCAAAUCCUCUCUCCAUUGUGAGUGAUGAACGGACUCUAGAUUGAGAUUGAAGUCUUGAAGAAGCACACAUAAAGGGUAUUUGGUGAUUUAUGAUGCCUCCUAAGAGAAGAAAGCAUUGUCGAAGUCUACCGCAUGAUGUCCUUAGCAACCUACCUGAUAAUGUAAUCGAUGUCAUUCUGAUGCAUUUGCCUUGUAAAGAUGCUGUGAGGACAAGCGUUUUAUCAAAGAACUGGAGGUAUCAGUGGUGUAGACUUACAGAGUUGACGCUUGAUUAUGAACUUUGGAAAACAAAAAAGGAUUUACUAAACCCUACUGUCAAAUUUUCAAAGAUUAUCUACCAGCUCUUGACCCUUCAUGAAGGACCCAUUACUAAGUUUACCCUCAAUGUUGUUCUUCUAAAAAGCUGUCCUGAGAUUGACAACUUCAUAUGUUUCCUCUCGAGGAAUGACAUUCAACAUCUUGUUCUUCACCUUCCAUUUAGAAAGCUAUACAAACUAUCUUCUUCACUUUUCACAUGUUCGCAGCUGAGGCAUCUAAAUCUUCACUAUUGCUUUAUAGAUCAUCCAUCAGCCUUUCAAGGAUUUGAUAAGUUAAUUAGCCUGGAACUAUGUGAAGUCACAAUUUCUUCUGAAUUGCUGGAAAGUUUAAUAUCUCAUUGCCCAUUGCUUGAGCAGUUGGUGCUGGAUACCACAGCAAAUUCAGACACAAUUGAAGUUAAUGCCCCCAUGUUGAGAUCGUUCGAUUUCACGGGCAAUAUAAGUUCUAUCUGCCUAAAGAAUGUCCCUCGUCUGUUAAAAGUAUCUCUGCAAGGUGACUAUAUUAAGGCAGAGGAACUUGAUUUUGCAAAGGUUUUCGAGUCUUGUUCUGCUCUUGAGCACCUCCUCUUUAACUUCUCUGAUUCCGGGUUCUUUGCUGAAGAAGGAUAUGAAGCACCAACAAGGCUUACCUUUAAACUGAGCAGUGUCAAGCGAUUUUACCUGCCUGAUAUUACGCUGAUUGAAUCAUCAUAUAAGCUCUCGUAUGCUCUUUGCUUGAUAAGAAGCUUCCCAUAUUUAGAAUAUCUUGAAAUUAAGGUUCGUAUUGAAGAUGAUGAAGAUGAUGAUCCUAUUCUAGAAUCCCUUAAGCUCGAACAUACCUCGGACAUGACAUUUAAUCACCUCAGCGAAGUUAAGCUUGGAUGCUUUGCAGGAACAACGCCUGAGUUGCAGCUUAUCAAGCUUUUGUUAGCUGAGUCCCCACUGUUGGAGAGAAUGCUAAUUGAUCGACGGUUUAUAGAUCAUGAAAAUCUUGACACAAGAUUACAAUUUUUUGCUGAGGCCGAAGCCCAUGCCCUGGGUUAGGAUAAAAUACUUGAAGAGGUAAAAAUAAUGGCCUAAGAGCUGAAGCAUCAGAGAAAUAGGGCGUAAGGCAGAUUCCAUCACCAGCAAUCUUCUUGCUUGAAGAAUCGAAAAUCACAAAUAGUAUCCACCUGCGGAAGCACGGAGUAGAAGAGUUAAGAACACACAGGGCAUUUCGCAACAAUCAGGAGAAAAGUCGACUCCACCAUUUUAGAUCUUGCAUCAUAAAAAUUCUUGGGUGUUGAUUCCCAUUGGCAUUGCACUGAGAGCUAAAAGCAUGGUUGUCAAAGUUUACCUACCGAUCGACUUAGCAACCUUCCUGAGAAUUUUAUCAAUGCCAUUCUGAUGCGUUUGCCUUUGAAAAAAGCUAUGAGGACCAGCAUCUUAUCGAAGAAAUGGAGGUAUAAAUGGUGCAGACUUCCACAGUUGACGCUUGAUGAUUCACUUUGGGACGCGACAAAUGACUUACUAUCCCCUUCUAUUAAGUAUACAAAAAUUAUGUACCACAUUUGGACCUGUCAUUCAGGACCACUUACUAAGUUUACCCUCUCCAUUUCUGAAAUGAAAAAGUAUCCUAAGAUUGGCAGUUUGAUAUAUUUCCUCUUUAGGAAUGACAUUCAGGAUCUUGUUCUUGAAUUUUCGGAGUGGAACCGAUACAGAUUGCCACCUUCAUUUUUCACGUGUUCGCAGUUGAGGCGUUUGACUCUCCAAAAUUUUGUAAAUACCCUCCACCGGCCUUCAAAGGAUUUGAUAUGUUAAAUAGACUGAACUUGCAUGAUGUCACAGUUUCUUCCAAAUUACUAGAAAGCUUAAUCUCUUAUAGCCCAUUGCUUGAGAAGUUGGUGUUGAAAAUCUCAGACCACAUUCAAAUUAACGCUCCCAAUUUGACAUCCUUCAACUUCACAGACUACAAAAUAUAUUUCUUAAAUUAAUGUUCCUCUUCUUGCUAAACUUUCUCUUUGCUAUGGAGGAUCUUUAGAGGAAUCAGAAAAAUGUGAUCUUGACAAUUUUUUUCAGUCACUUCCUGCCCUCGAGCAUCUGUACUUGGAUGUGGGAAGUGUCCAGGUAAAUGUACCUUCACUUUCAUACAUGUACGAUCUUUUUGGCUUCAAGUCAUCCUGGUUUUUUUUAUUUUCUUUGUAGUUCUUGGUUGCAGGUGCAGCUGCAGUACCAAGAAGGCUUUCGUCUCCUCUUAACCAUCUUAAACGUCUCCAUGUAUCUCUGGAUGUUUUAGAUUUAUAUUUAUCGUUCCUGUGCUCUUUGCUCGAUAAGCAGCUAUAUUUACAUGAUCUUGAAGUGGAGGUUGUUAAUGAUGUUUAUGUUUUACUCUCUUUUUUAUAUGCUAUUCGUAUGUAAUGACAACUUUCUUGUUAUCAUA